CUGCCUCUUAACUGGUAUGCUUCCAAUGCAGUAGUCAAAAAUGUACAGUUAAAUUACAGUUGAUAGUACGUGAUGAACACCUAGACAUGAGAGCAGCCUUAGGAAGUUUCUUAUCAUCUCACAACCGUCCAUGGCUCUCAAAUGAGAACAGAGGCCUGCCCCUUAAUCACUUCUAAUCCACCUCUGGAAACUCAUUUAAGGUCCCUUGUUUGCCUUUGCCUGGAGCAUAUGUGGAGCACUCAGACAGUUGGAUAUGAAUGGACCACCAUCCAAUAUGCAGGAACCACCAGCUCCAAGGCAAGCAGGUCCCUGGCUGCAGCAGCAUCCUUGGCAUUUGCACUCUAUGAUGAUGAACAUGGCAAGAGAAAAAACGAAGUAGAUUUUGCUUGGCUGAUUGAAGCAGUUAUGUCUUCUACCCUUUCCACUCUUCUGGAAGAGUUACUGUCUUGUGGCAAGGAUGGUUGGAUAAAGCAGGAAUCCAGUCCAAAAUUACCAGAAUUCACAGCUCCAUACAUAGCAGAAACUUGUGACAGCAUCUCCAAGAACCAGCAGCCUGACCUGUGAAGCACCAAGACAUGAUCAGUACUCCUUGCUUCAUCACCACCUGUCUCUUGGAGAAGGUGAAAAGCAGCCCUAAGAAUUACCCAUAGCUCUUACCUAACCCAGAAACAUGCACGAAUGCCCUUCCCAUUGUCUAUAGACUCCAUUUAAUAAGUCAUUAGCUCAAGCUGCAUUUCAAAAG
ensembl:lncRNA